UACGUAGGGAGCAAGCGUUGUCCGGAAUCAUUGGGCGUAAAGCGCGCGUAGGUGGCCAUGUAAGUCCGCUGUGAAAGUCAAAGGCUCAACCUUUGAAAGCCGGUGGAUACUGCAUGGCUAGAGUACGGAAGAGGCGAGUGGAAUUCCUGGUGUAGCGGUGGAAUGCGCAGAUAUCAGGAGGAACACCAAUAGCGAAGGCAGCUCGCUGGGACGUUACUGACACUGAGGCGCGAAAGCGUGGGGAGCGAACAGGA
rnacentral:rRNA from 1 species